rnacentral:rRNA from 1 species
AUGGCGACCGGCGCACGGGUGAGUAACGCGUAUCCAACCUGCCCUUUACUAUGGGACAGCCCGUCGAAAGGCGGAUUAAUACCGUAUGUUGUCAUGUUGAUGCAUAUUUUCAUGACCAAAGGCUUCGGCCGGUAAAGGAUGGGGAUGCGUCUGAUUAGCUUGCCGGCGGGGUAACGGCCCACCGGGGCGACGAUCAGUAGGGGUCCUGAGAGGAAGGUCCCCCACAUUGGAACUGAGACACGGUCCAAACUCCUACGGGAGGCAGCAG